rnacentral:rRNA from 1 species
GUCUUUUUGAGGUUAAUUAAAAGUCUGGUCUGCCCAAUGUAUAUGAAUGGCCGCGGUAUUUUGACCGUGCUAAGGUAGCAUAAUGAAUAGUCCAUUAAUUGUGGUCUGGAAUGAAGGAUUUGACGAGGUAUUUCUUUCUUAAGUUUAUUUUUGAAUUUUAAUUGUAAGUAAAAAUGCUUACAUAAAGAAGAAGGACGAGAAGACCCUAUAGAGCUUUACAUAAUUAAUUAUUUUUGUGGAACUAAUAAAAUAUGUUUUGUUGGGGCGACAAUGAGUCAAAACACUUAUUAUAUUAUCUAAGUAAUAGGAGUAUUGAUCCAAUAUUAUUGAUUAAAGGCUAAGUUACCUUAGGGAUAACAGCGUAAUUUUAUUAUAGAGUUCUUAUCGACAAUAAAGAUUGCGACCUCGAUGUUGGAUUAAAAUUCCUUUAGGGCGUAGUAGUUCUAAAAGGUAGUCUGUUCGACUAUUAAAAUUUUACAUGAUCU